AUGAUUUUUCCCAGAAUUCCCGGUUUUUCCCCAGAAUUCCCGGUUUUUUUCCCAGAAUUCCCAGAAUUCCCAGUUUUUUCCCCAGAAUUCCCGGUUUUUUCCCAGAAUUCCCGGGUUUUUUUCCCAGAUUUCCCAGAAUUCCCGGGGAUUUUUCCCAGAAUUCCCAGAAUUCCCGGGUUUUUUUCCCAGAAUUCCCGGUUGUUUUCCCAGAAUUCCCCAGAAUUCCCGGUUUUCCCCAGAAUUCCCAGAAUUCCCGGGUUUUUUUCCCAGAUUUCCCAGAAUUCCCGGGGAUUUUUCCCAGAAUUCCCAGAAUUCCCAUUUUUUUCCCAGAAUUCCCGGGGUUUUUUCCCAGAAUUCCCGGUUUUUUUCCCAGAAUUCCCAGAAUUCCCAGUUUUUUUCCCAGAAUUCCCGGGUUUUUUUCCCAGAAUUCCCAUUUUUUUCCCAGAAUUCCCGGUGUUUUCCCCUCCCCCUCUCUCUCUGUGUCUCUCACCGGGUGGGGGGAGGGGCGUUCCCAGCGCCCUCUCCUGGAGCUGCUCCAGCGCCGNNNNNNNNNNNNNNNNNNNNUUCCCCCAGAAUUCCCAGAAUUCCCCCCAAAAUUCCCCCCAAAAUUCCCCCCAAAUUCCCAGAAUUCCCAGAAUUCCCAGGAUUUUUCCCCGAAUUCCCCCAGAAUUCCCAGAAUUCUCCCGAAUUCCCGGGAUUUUUCCCCAAAUUACCCCAGAAUUCCCCCAGAAUUCCCAAAAUUCCCCCAGAAUUCCCAGGAUUUUUUCCCAGAAUUCCCGGGAUUUCCCCCAGAAUUCCCCCCAAAAUUCCCCAGAUUUCCCAAAAUUCCCAGGAUUUUCCCCAGAAUCCCCGGGAUUUUUCCCCGAAUUCCCCCAGAAUUCCCAGAAAUCCCAGGAUUUUUCCCAGAAUUCCCCCAGAAUUCCCAAAAUUCCCGUUUUUUCCCCAGAAUUCCUGUUUUUUUCCCAGAAUUCCCGUGAUAUUUCCCAGAAUUCCCGGUUUUUUCCCAGAAUUCCCAAAAUUCCCGGUUUUUUUCCCAGAAUUCCCAUUUUUUCCCCAGAAUUCCCGGUUUUUCCCCAGAAUUCCCGGUUUUUUUCCCAGAAUUCCCGGUUUUUUUCCCAGAAUUCCCAGGAUUUUUCCCAGAAUUCCCCCAAAAUUCCCAAAAUUCCCGGGAUUUUUCCCCAGAAUUCCCGUGAUUUUUCCCAGAAUUCCCGGUUUUUUCCCAGAUUUCCCAGGGUUUUUCCCAGAUUUCCCAGAAUUCCCGUGAUAUUUCCCAGAAUUCCCGUUUUUUCCCCAGAAUUCCCAUUUUUUUUUCCCAGAAUUCCCAUUUUUUCCCCAGAAUUCCCGGUUUUUUCCCCGAAUUCCCGGUUUUUUCCCAGAAUUCCCGGUUUUUUCCCAGAAUUCCCAUUUUUUUCCCAGAAUUCCCAGAAUUCCCGUUUUUUUCCCCAGAAUUCCCAGUUUUUUCCCAGAAUUCCCGUGAUAUUUCCCAGAAUUCCCAGUUUUUUCCCAGAUUUCCCAGAAUUCCCAUUUUUUUCCCAGAAUUCCCGGGAUUUUCCCCAGAAUUCCCGGUGUUUUUCCCAGAAUUCCCAGAAUUCCCGGUUUUUUCCCCAGAAUUCCCGGUUUUUUUCCCAGGAUUUUUCCCAGAAUUCCCGUUUUUUUUCCCAGAAUUCCCGGUUUUUUCCCAGAAUUCCCGUUUUUUUUUCCCAGAAUUCCCAGAAUUCCCGGUUUUUUUUCCCAGAAUUCCCGGUUUUUUCCCAGAUUUCCCAGAAUUCCCAUGAUUUUUUUUCCCAGAAUUCCCGUUUUUCCCCUCCCCCUCCCCCUCUCUCUCUGUGUCUCUCACCGGGUGGGGGGAGGGGCGUUCCCAGCGCCCUCUCCUGGAGCUGCUCCAGCGCCGCCGCCCGCAGCUCCAGAGCCCCCAGCCCCCGGCGCACCCCCCGCGCCUGCGUCGCGACAUGUCGCGAUAGGAACGCGUCACGUCGCGAUAGGAACGCGUCAUGUCGCGAUAUGAACACGUCAUGUCGCGAUAUGGACAUGUCAUGUCGCGAUAUGAACACGUCAUGUCGCGAUAUGGAGCCGUUAUAUCGUGAUAUUGAGGGGUUAUAUUGCGAUAUCGAGGUGUUAUAUCGCGAUAUGGACCCAUUAUAUCGCGAUAUGGAGGGGCCAUGUUGCGAUAUCGAGGGGUUAUAUCGCGAUAUGGACCCGUUAUGUCACGAUAUCGACGGGCCAUGUCGCGAUAUCGAGGGGUUAUGUCGCGAUAUGGAGGGUUUAUGUCGCGAUAUCAAGGGGUUAUAUUGCGGUAUCGAGGGUUUAUGUCGCGAUAUCGAGGGGUUAUAUCGCGAUAUGAACCCGUUCUGUCGCGAUAUCGAGGGGUUCUGUCGCGACGGGGGCGCCUCCAAUCACGACGUGAACCCCGACCCCGUCACCAACAGCCCGAUGUAAAUGAGAUGCAAAUGAGACACAAAUGAGGUGCAAACAGGAGGCAAACGAGAUGCAAAUGAGAUGCAAACGAUAUGCAAAUGAGAUGCAAGACNNNNNNNNNNNNNNNNNNNNAAAUGAGAUGCGAACGACGCGCAAGCACGACGCAAACAUGGCGCGGCUGAUAUGCAAAUGAGAUGCAAAUGCAAGAUGUGACGCAAACAGGACACAAUGAGAUGCAAAUGAGAUGCGAAUGAGAUACGGAUGAGAUGCAAACGGGACGUAAUCAUUGCACAAACGAGAUGCAAAUGAGAUGCAAAUGACACGCAAUCGACAUGCAAAUGCGACACGGGACGCAAAUGAGAUGCAAAUGAGAUGUAAACGAUAUGCAACCAUGGCACAAAUGAUAUGCAAAUGAUAUGCAAGCGACAUGCAAAUGAAAUGCAAAGGCAACACAAACAUGGCACAAGUUAUAUGCAAAUUAGACGCAAAUGAGAUGCAAAUGAGAUGGAAACGAGAUGCAACCACGGCACAAAUGAGAUGCAAACGAGAUGCAAGCGAAAUGCAAAUGAGAUGCGAACGCGACACAAACGUGACACAAAUUGUAUGCAAAUUAGAUGCAAGCGACAUGCAAAUGAGAUGCAAACGCGUCCCAAAUACAACGUAAAUUAUAUGCAAAUGAGAUGCAAACGAGAUGUAAAUGAGAUGCAAACGAGAUGCAAACGAGAUGCAAACGCGAGGGGCGUGGCCGAACCCACCUGGCUCAGGGCGGGGUCCCCGGGGGGGCGGAGCCUCGCUCGCCCCUCCCCCCCCUCCGAGUCCGAGUCCGAGUCCUGAGGGGGCGGAGCCAAANNNNNNNNNNNNNNNNNNNNGUUUUUCCCCAGAAUUCCCGUUUUUUUCCCCAGAAUUCCCAGAAUUCCCGUUUUUUUCCCCAGAAUUCCCAGAAUUCCCGGUUUUUUUCCCAGAAUUCCCGGGUUUUUUUCUCAGAUUUCCCAGAAUUCCCAUGAUUUUUCCCAGAAUUCCCGGUUUUUCCCCAGAAUUCCCGGUUUUUUUCCCAGAAUUCCCAGAAUUCCCAGUUUUUUCCCCAGAAUUCCCGGUUUUUUCCCAGAAUUCCCGGGUUUUUUUCCCAGAUUUCCCAGAAUUCCCGGGGAUUUUUCCCAGAAUUCCCAGAAUUCCCGGGUUUUUUUCCCAGAAUUCCCAUUUUUUUCCCAGAAUUCCCGGUGUUUUCCCCUCCCCCUCUCUCUCUGUGUCUCUCACCGGGUGGGGGGAGGGGCGUUCCCAGCGCCCUCUCCUGGAGCUGCUCCAGCGCCGCCGCCCGCAGCUCCAGAGCCCCCAGCCCCCGGCGCACCCCCCGCGCCUGCGUCGCGAUUUAUCGCGAUAUGGACGCGUCACGUCGCGAUAUGGACCCGUUAUGUCGCGAUAUGGACACGUCAUGUCACGAUAUGAACCCGUUAUGUCGCGAUAUGAACGCGUCACGUCGCGAUAGGGACACGUCAUGUCGCGAUAGGGACGCGUCACGUCACGAUAGGGACCCGUUAUGUCGCGAUAGGAACGCGUCAUGUCGCGAUAUGAACCCGUUAUGUCGCGAUAUGGACGCGUCACGUCGCGAUAUGAACACGUCAUGUCGCGAUAUGGACCCGUCACGUCGCGAUAGGGACCCGUUAUGUCGCGAUAUGGACUCGUUAUGUCGCGAUAUGAACGCGUCAUGUCGCGAUAGAGACACGUCAUGUCGCGAUAUGGACUCGUUAUGUCGCGAUAGGGACAUGUCACGUCGCAAUAUGAACGCGUUAUGUCGCGAUAGAGACACGUCAUGUCGCGAUAGAGACGCGUCAUGUCGCGAUAUGAACGCGUCACGUCGGGAUACGAACAUGUUAUGUCGGGAUAUGAACACAUUUUGUCGCAAUAUUGAGGGGUUAUGUCGCGAUAUAGACCCGCUACAUCACAAUAAAGACACGUUAUGUCGUGAUAUGGACCCGUUA
ensembl:lncRNA